rnacentral:rRNA from 1 species
AGCGAACUUGGCAGAGAUGCCUUGGUGCCUUCGGGAAGCUGAGACAGGUGCUGCAUGGCUGUCGUCAGCUCGUGUUGUGAAAUGUUGGGUUAAGUCCCGNAACGAGCGCAACCCUUAUCCUUUGUUGCCAGCGAUUCGGUCGGGAACUCAAAGGAGACUGCCGGUGAUAAACCGGAGGAAGGUGGGGAUGACGUCAAGUCAUCAUGGCCCUUACGAGUAGGGCUACGACACGUGCUACAAUGGCGCAUACAAAGAGAAGCGACCUCGCGAGAGCAAGCGGAACCUCAUAAAGUGCGUCGUAGUCCGGAUCGGAGUCUGCAACUCGACUCCGUGAAGUCGGAAUCGCUAGUAAUCGUGGAUCAGAAUGCCACGGUGAAUACGUUCCCGGGCCUUGUACACACCGCCCGUCACACCAUGGGAGUGGGUUGCAAAAGAAGUAGGUAGCUUAACCUUCGGGAGGGCGCUUACCACUUUGUGAUUCAUGACUGGGGUGAAGUCGUAACAAGGUAGGCGUAGCGAG